rnacentral:rRNA from 1 species
GUUUGAUCAUGGCUCAGAUUGAACGCUGGCGGCAUGCUUUACACAUGCAAGUCGAACGGUAACAGGUCUUCGGAUGCUGACGAGUGGCGAACGGGUGAGUAAUACAUCGGAACGUGCCUAGUAGUGGGGGAUAACUACUCGAAAGAGUAGCUAAUACCGCAUGAGAUCUACGGAUGAAAGCAGGGGACCUUCGGGCCUUGUGCUACUAGAGCGGCUGAUGGCAGAUUAGGUAGUUGGUGGGGUAAAGGCUUACCAAGCCUGCGAUCUGUAGCUGGUCUGAGAGGACGACCAGCCACACUGGGACUGAGACACGGCCCAGACUCCUACGGGAGGCAGCAGUGGGGAAUUUUGGACAAUGGGCGAAAGCCUGAUCCAGCAAUGCCGCGUGCAGGAUGAAGGCCCUCGGGUUGUAAACUGCUUUUGUACGGAACGAAAAGCCUGGGGCUAAUAUCCCCGGGUCAUGACGGUACCGUAAGAAUAAGCACCGGCUAACUACGUGCCAGCAGCCGCGGUAAUACGUAGGGUGCAAGCGUUAAUCGGAAUUACUGGGCGUAAAGCGUGCGCAGGCGGUUUUGUAAGACAGUGGUGAAAUCCCCGGGCUCAACCUGGGAACUGCCAUUGUGACUGCAAGGCUAGAGUGCGGCAGAGGGGGAUGGAAUUCCGCGUGUAGCAGUGAAAUGCGUAGAUAUGCGGAGGAACACCGAUGGCGAANGGCAAUCCCCUGGGCNUGCACUGACGCUCAUGCACGAAAGCGUGGGGAGCAAACAGGAUUAGAUACCCUGGUAGUCCACGCCCUAAACGAUGUCAACUGGUUGUUGGGUCUUAACUGACUCAGUAACGAAGCUAACGCGUGAAGUUGACCGCCUGGGGAGUACGGCCGCAAGGUUGAAAACUCAAAGGAAUUGACGGGGACCCGCACAAGCGGUGGAUGAUGUGGUUUAAUUCGAUGCAACGCGAAAAACCUUACCCACCUUUGACAUGGCAGGAACUUACCAGAGAUGGUUUGGUGCUCGAAAGAGAACCUGCACACAGGUGCUGCAUGGCUGUCGUCAGCUCGUGUCGUGAGAUGUUGGGUUAAGUCCCGCAACGAGCGCAACCCUUGCCAUUAGUUGCUACAUUCAGUUGAGCACUCUAAUGGGACUGCCGGUGACAAACCAGAGGAAGGUGGGGAUGACGUCAAGUCCUCAUGGCCCUUAUAGGUGGGGCUACACACGUCAUACAAUGGCUGGUACAAAGGGUUGCCAACCCGCGAGGGGGAGCUAAUCCCAUAAAGCCAGUCGUAGUCCGGAUCGCAGUCUGCAACUCGACUGCGUGAAGUCGGAAUCGCUAGUAAUCGUGGAUCAGAAUGUCACGGUGAAUACGUUCCCGGGUCUUGUACACACCGCCCGUCACACCAUGGGAGCGGGUCUCGCCAGAAGUAGGUAGCCUAACCGCAAGG